CGUGUCCAUGGAAACAAGCCCAGGAGUGUUCCACCAGGUGCUUCCGCAAAGUCUCCGUAUCUUGUUUCUGCUUUGUUGUGAUUGGCCUCAAUCUCAAACAGUCGGGUGGUCAACCGUGAAGCGCAGUAAGAAUUCCUCUUUCCUAAUAGAUGCAGCAGUGUCCAAAAUAGAGUCGUUAUCCAUCCUGGCCUGGCUCACCUGAAACGAAGUAUCAUAGCAAGGAAAGAAACAGACUCCGAUUGGCUGGACCUGCUCUCACCUCGCGUAGGGUUACUCACAUAGAGCUAUGGAGACCGGCGCACUCUGGUAAGAAGCUUGGGAGCUCUUACUGAGAAGAGGAAGAAUGGAUUAGACUACAUGACUGUUUGCUCACCUGUGACCACCCAUUUUAAAGACAUAUUCUCUAAACAAGAGCAAGGAUCCAAUACACACAGGCAGACCCGGUCCUAUCUCAGAAAGACAUGGUGCCUCAAGUUCGGGUGAAAACCUUCCAGAUAAAGUUACGGACCUCCGCAGCCUCUCCAGCAAACAAGCCACAUCGAGAGCUUCUCCUGCUCCACAUCCUCUCUGUCUCUAAGCAGUGUGGUUCUCAGGGCUCCUGUUAGCCUGUCAGAAGGCAAGGAUUAGCAUGAAUUUUGAUUUCUGUUGCAACCACCACGUUGUUUCAGAAAUAAAGUUGGCAUGGCAAGCAUCUUGGUUGAUUUAAUCCCUGACAUGGGAAGCUCAUUUAUAGCAUCACAGCCUUCUGAAUGUUUAAAAACUUAAGUGUUAUAAGCCUGCUGUGCUUUUCCUGCGAAGGGCAGACCAGCGCUCAAUGAAUAAUACCAACUGGCCCAGCAGCACCAGUGAGAUCCGGCAUCAAACACAGCUUCACUCUGCUCCCAGGGAAGGAGACACUGGACUGCAUAGCUUUCUCUUUUCAAUAUGUAAAUCCCGGCUUAGUACCUAUGCCCACCGAGUCAUCAGGUCUGCCUCUUGAGAAUUGUAGAAGUAUAAAUGCAUUGUCAAAUGAGAAAAUGUUGUCAACAAGUGGCUAGGUGACUCACUCAAGGUCACAAGGCUGGCGUACAGUUCUGGACCAUCUGGGCACUGAGCUUGAGCACACUUUCACUUGUACGGCCUCUCAAGACAUCUGCAAGUGACACACCGGUCACUUAGCCGACAGUGACUCCAUCAAGGCUCCUACGGAAUGAUACCUCGAUAGUGUGAAAGGCAUACCACGAGGUACGUAGGUGACUCCAGAUGGCACAGAAGACAGCAACUCGAAUGUAUUGAUGUAUUCAGGACACCUGGAAAUUCAUUUUUCCAGCCCCGUUUCCUCAACCUGAGCCUGGAAAGCCAAAUCCAGCUGGCACCAGUCUUCUGAGAUCAUCCUCACUAUACCAAUGGAAACUCUGAGCCUCAGAGAAGUGAGGGCCGAAAGGCCACACAGCUCGAAAACAGAAAGGAAGGUGACAGAAAAGCUGCUUCUGGUUGCUCUGGCUCAACACAAUCUUUAUUUUGUACCCAGUGGAGUCUGGAGCUUCCAAGCCGACUUCUCCCUUCAGUCACUGACACUGCCCCUCUUGCCUGCCAUUACCCAGAGAAGAGCCUCGGUUCCCCAAGUGCAAAUUCAUCAUUGGCUGACAAUCCCUAGCUCCUGGGUUCAAGCCACAGUGCCCAGGAACGCAUGGAUGGUGAUUUCUACAUGACUGAUUCUCUGUCACUUCGAUCAAGAGGCAAAUACGGUCUCCAGAGAAGCUUACAAAACAGCCCUCGGCUGUCUCUAUAAAGAGUUCCAGAAGGGAAGUGAAUAGAUAUUAGAACGUGGUAAAACAUGAGGCCUGCCUGUCUGGCAAAUUUGGCCUAGAGCUUACUCUGCCCUGAUCGUCGAACACAGAGCUCAGACGUUCGGUGCCCCUUCCACACACCAACCUAUAGCCGUCCGGGCAAGGGUGCAGACUGCCCAUUGCACAAAGCUGAGGCAGGUGCCAGAGAAACCUUCACAGCUGCAGGUCAUGGGAAGUCUCACGGGACAUCUCUGGGAAGCUGAGCCAGGUGCAGCUCAGUCACUCCGGUGUCUUAGCUAUUCUAGAGACAGAGGCACAGGAUCACGAGUUCAAAGAUCCUGUGAGCUGCACGUGAGUUCAAAGCUGGCCUGAGCAAGGACCUUGCCUCAACAAAGGAACCAAGAAGAGAAUAGGAGGGGCCUGGGUCCACCGCUCAUGGUGACUGCUUGCCUACCGUGAGCCAGGCCUGGGCGUGAUACCCAACACCACUGAAGGGAAAAAAUAUGUUAAAUGAAAGUGGAAAGGGUUAGCACCACCUCAAAAAUCAGGAAAGUGAGUUUGCACGGGGACUGCACUCUGUAUUGGGCAUAUGUGCCAGAGUUCAAAUCCUACCCAAGUAUUAUAGCUGUGCCUGAAUUCUACAUUCUGUGGCCGGUGAGCCAUCUGUGGUUAUCCCUUGCAUUUUUCUAUAUAAUUUUGUAUUAAUUUAAGAGUUCCUUUUAGCUUGACCAAUGGCAGUAUUGAUAUGUGUCAUGUGCACUGUGAUCACAUAGGAACCAUGACAACAUAACAUUGCUCUAUCUGUAUAAUAUGUUUAUACACAUAACACAUGCAUAUGACAUAUGUAUAUAUGCGAUUAUAGGUUGGCCCGAGAGGCUAAACUAGACAAUCAUUUCUCUAAUAUCUGGCUGAGUGAGAAUGUUGCUGAGGUGAGAAGAGAACUUAAAGUUAGAAGGGAACUGAGGCUUGAGUGGAGCCCUGGGGAGUAGGCAGGCUCACAAAGAUAAAGGGAAGGGGGAGGUACCCAAAGGAGCUGCUGUCAUGCAAAAGAAAGGCAGGAAAACUGGUCUUGAACCUGGGCCCUGCAUUCACAGUUGGAAUGAAACUGAGGCUGCAUACAAGAAUGUGCAUUAAUACAAAAAAAUAAACUCUAAUGCAGGAAAUAAAAUCUGGAAGUACCUA